GACGAACGCUGGCGGCGUGCCUAAUACAUGCAAGUAGAACGCACAGUUUAUACCGUAGCUUGCUACACCAUAGACUGUGAGUUGCGAACGGGUGAGUAACGCGUAGGUAACCUGCCUGGUAGCGGGGGAUAACUAUUGGAAACGAAGCUAAUACCGCAUAAUAUUAAUUAUUGCAUGAUAAUUGAUUGAAAGGUGCAAUUGCACCACUACCAGAUGGACCUGCGUUGUAUUAGCUAGUAGGUGAGGUAACGGCUCACCUAGGCGACGAUACAUAGCCGACCUGAGAGGGUGAUCGGCCACACUGGGACUGAGACACGGCCCAGACUUCCUACGGGAGGCAGCGUUUUCGGGUCGUAAGCUCUGUUGUAAGAGAAGAGCGGGUGUGAGAGUGGAAAGUUCACACUGUGACGGUAUCUUACCAGAAAGGGACGGCUAACUACGUGCCAGCAGCCGCGGUAAUACGUAGGUCCCGAGCGUUGUCCGGAUUUAUUGGGCGUAAAGCGAGCGCAGGCGGUUAGAUAAGUCGGAAGUUAAAGGCUGUGGCUUAACCAUAGUACGCUCUGGAAACUGUUUAACUUGAGUGCAGAAGGGGAGAGUGGAAUUCCAUGUGUAGCGGUGAAAUGCGUAGAUAUAUGGAGGAACACCGGUGGCGAAAGCGGCUCUCUGGUCUGUAACUGACGCUGAGGCUCGAAAGCGUGGGGAGCGAACAGGAUUAGAUACCCUGGUAGUCCACGCCGUAAACGAUGAGUGCUAGGUGUUAGGCCCUUUCCGGGGCUUAGUGCCGCAGCUAACGCAUUAAGCACUCCGCCUGGGGAGUACGACCGCAAGGUUGAAACUCAAAGGAAUUGACGGGGGCCCGCACAAGCGGUGGAGCAUGUGGUUUAAUUCGAAGCAACGCGAAGAACCUUACCAGGUCUUGACAUCCCGAUGCCCGCUCUA
rnacentral:rRNA from 1 species